GGGGAUGUAGCUCAAUGGUAAAGUGCUUACCCAGCAUAUAUAAAACCCUGGGUUCAAUCCCCAGUACCACCA
rnacentral:tRNA from 1 species